rnacentral:rRNA from 1 species
AUGUUCUGCACCACCUCCGGCGUGGACAUGCCGGGCGCCGACUACCAGCUGGUCAAGCUGCUUGGCCUCCGGCUGUCUGUGAGGCGCGUCAUGCUGUACCAGCAGGGCUGCUACGCGGGAGGCACGGUGCUGCGCGUGGCCAAGGACCUGGCGGAGAACAACCGUGGCGCGCGUGUCCUCGUCGUCUGCUCGGAGAUCAUCGCCAUGUGCUUCCGAGGCCCCUCGGAAGCCCACAUUGACUCGCUGACCGGCCAGGCGCUCUUCGGAGACGGAGCCGCCGCGGUGAUCGUCGGUGCCGACCCCGACGUUCCCAUGGAGCGGCCGUUGUUCCAGCUGGUGUCGGCAAGCCAGACCAUAGUGUCCGGCACGGAUGGCUUCAUCGAAGGCCAGCUCCUUCCAGCUCCACAAGGAUGUGCCCCUGGCCAUCUCGAAGAACAUAGAGAGCGCGCCGGUAGCCGCCUUCGCGCCGCUGGGCAUCAACGACUGGAACUCCAUCUUCUGGGUGGCUCACCCUGGUGGGCCGGCGAUCCUAGACAUGGUGGAGGCGGAGGCCAAUCUCGACAAGAAGCGGAUGCAUGCCACCCGGCAUGUCCUCUCUGA